rnacentral:lncRNA from 1 species
GGGUUUUCUGGUCGUCGUUCCGCGAUGGUGUUUAGCCGCGAAGGUCUACGACUUAGUCUUCCUCGUGCGAGGUAGAUCAGGCUACACAACGGUGUUUUCUCGAUCCUUUUUCGUCGUAAGGAUAUUGAGAAACGAAGGCCGUAAGUUGGCCGGUGGCUAAGUCGGGAAUUCGACGUUGGCCGCCGAAGGAUAUUGCGGCCUUUGGUCAGGAAAAUAUAGAGAAGGCUUCGGCCUUUCGAUUGUUGGGUUUGGUAGCCUGAAGAUG